GGCGCCUUGGCCGAGCGGCUAGGCAGAGGUCUGCAAAACCUUGUACGGCGGUUCGAAUCCGCCAGGCGCCUCAA
rnacentral:tRNA from 2 species